UACGAAGGGGCUAGCGUUGCUCGGAAUCACUGGGCGUAAAGCGCACGUAGGCGGAUUGUUAAGUCAGGGGUGAAAGUCCUGGAGCUCAACGUCCAGAACUGCCUUUGAUACUGGCGAUCUUGAGUCCGGGAGAGGUGGAGUGGAACUGCGAGUGUAGAGGUGAAAUUCGUAGAUAUUCGCAAGAACACCAGUGGCGAAGGCGGAGCUCGACUG
rnacentral:rRNA from 1 species